rnacentral:lncRNA from 1 species
AGAAAAUAUUAAGUCUAGGUCUUCCACCAUUAUGGAUGUGUGGGCCCUUCCCGGGGUUGAUUGUUCUCGGCUGGUUACAGUGGCUCAGUUGCACCAGAAAGACGCAACCAUGUCCAUUAGGCAUUGGAUGCUACGGAUUAGAGGAUGGGUUGGGCUCAAUAUUUUGGAUAUGGUGAGGGACCCAAUCAAGAAUCUAGUUCGUGCAAAUGGUGGGUGUGACUUAACUAGGGAUUGGAGCAAUAUCCCAGACACGGUGAGCUUUAUGAAUUAGAGAUCAAGUUUUGGGUGCACCAUGAUUAGAGAAUCAUUGGACAAGAGUUGUCCACUCAUCGGUUGACCCAUCAUCAAUAACUAUUAGGUGAGGUGGUGAGCCAGUCAGUGAGACCGCACCACCCACUAAAAAUCACUGAUCACGGAGAUUUUCACAUCUCUACCAAGGGAGUGUAGGGAUCUGAGAAAAUAGUAAGAGCCUAAUUUGUUUAAAAAUAAAAAUCUUAAAUAAAUUGGUUGAGUCUGAUUACAAAAUCUAACUAGAAACUUUUGACUCUCUACAGGAAACAUGUCUGCAUCAAACCCCCUGACCAAAAUUCUAGACACCCAUAGACUGACUGGACCCAAUUUCAAGGACUGGUUGAGGAACUAUAGAAUUAUU